GACUCUGUGUCUGUAAGUGCUGGAGGCUUGUGUGUGUGUGGCUGUGCUAGUGCAUUAUCGGCAGUAGAGAAAGGACUUCUUCAGAUUGUAUGAUGUAAGAUAAGUUGUACUAGACAUGACAACAGAGAAUGUGUGUCAGAGAUAGAGAGAUACUUGAUAAUAGAUUGUGCUGACAGGAGUUUUUGAGUGUGUAGUAGAAAAUUUGAACUUAAUCAUUAUUGUUGGGAAAAGAGGAGAAGGGAUUGAAAGAGGAAAAUGAAGUUAUAAAAAUGAAGAAGAGUCAAGGAAAAGGUGGGUGGUGAUUAACAGAAAGAGAGAAAAAUGAAGGUUUAAUCAUCGUUUGGCAUUUUCUAGAUGACAUUCUUGUAACUUUGCAGAUUUGUUCUUUUUUAUAUUUUCAUAAUACUUGUUCUACAUUAUUACACCAGUGCGCAGUCACUUGCUGACAUGCUGAAUGAGGCGUAGAUUUGAGGUUCGUUCCUUACAUAAGCAAAGGCACAAGUGAGAGAGAUGUUACACAAGGAAAAAGAUGCCAUAAAAAGAACUACCAUGUUGUUUAGGAGGAGGAGAGGUUGGCUGAACAGAUCAAAGAGAAUAGAGGAGGGAGAGGAUGACAAGUGGAAGCAGAUAAGACCAUAAAAACAUAAAUCAGGGACAGGGGCAUGAGACAUGAAAAGUAUAAAGGAUGUUGUAAGCAAAAAAGUGGGGUAGAAAAGGAAGGUUAAGAGCCUGAGAGAGGUAGAGGUAGAGCACAAGUGAGAGAAGGGAUUGAUUAAUGGUCUUGGCCUGUGACAGUGGGAGCUGUACCCCUGAGGGGGGAGUAGAGCAUAAGAUGAAUUAUUAAAAACUAGAACAAGAGGAGAAUGGAGGAAAAAUGAGGACAAAAACAAAGUAAGUGGAAGAGUGGUUUGUAGAGCAGGGAGAAGGGAAAUGAAGAAGGAAGAAAGGGGAAAAGGUGCUAGGGAGGAUAAUCAUGAAUGAUUGAUAGAAAUGGAAAGAAAACAAGAUGUUACUGAAGGUGCUGAGGUUGGACGUUACAGAAGAGGUCACAUGACUGAGCUCAUAAAUAACCAAGCUUAAUACGACCAGUGCAUGCUUGUGUUGCAAAAACAGUACUGUGAUUAAUCCCGAGUUUUGGUGAUGCAGCAAAUACUGACCUUGGCAAGGGUGUCACUGUAUUAAAACAGAAAGUACACAAACAGCUUCUUCAGCCUCUGAGUUUUCUGGAUUUGAUAAAUACACCUGCCCAAAACUUUGUUUGUGGUUCCUUAUUCUGUAUUUGUCUACCUUAAUGUUUAGGUCCCACUCAUACAGGGCUAGAGACUGGUUGUGUAUUCCCUUGGCAACAGGUUGAAAGAGGCUGCUGGCUAUUGCUAGUUGAAAAGAGCAUGAAAUGGAAACCGAUAGUUGCCAGUGGAUCAGUGAUCUGUCUCUAGCUCUAAAUGAAUGGAGCGAUCACCUUAUCGUUUGGCAUUACCAGCAACCUCCAGCAAUCCCUAGUUGUUAUGAAACGGCUGUGUGCAGGCAGGAAAAGGACGCAAAGUGCACACUCCGGAGACAACGUCAACUCAAAAAAGCACCUUAAAUCCGAACUCAAAGUAACAAACUUCAAAAUACAAAGAAUAAACGCAGACAUGCAGCCAGAACACGCAGCAUGGAUGAGGGUAGAUCACGACACGGACACAGAGAAACAAAAGGCUUAAAUACACAGAGGGAGCAAUCAGGGAAUGGGAAACAGGAGGGAAACACAGCUGGGGCAACUCAGGCCUAACGAGACAAAGGAAGCAAAACCAGACACAUUAGCAUAAGACAUGGACCUUCAAAGUAAAACAGGAAACAUAGCACAGACACGCAGACCUGACACGGGGAUACAGCAGACAGGGGAGGCAGCAACUAUGGAUCACAGACAGAAAACCAGAACACUAAAACUCUAACAAAACCCACAUAGAAAACCUAAACUAAGAAUAAACCUAUAACCCAUAAUAUAAUGAAAUGAACAAAAUCAAAGAACCAAAA